UAGGGAAUCUUCGGCAAUGGGGGAAACCCUGACCGAGCAACGCCGCGUGAGGGAAGAAGGUUUUCGGAUCGUAAAACUCUGUUAUUAGGGAAGAACAAAUGAGUAAGUAACUAUGCACGUCUUGAGGGUACCUAAUCAGAAAGCCCCGGCUAACUACGGGCCAGCAGCCGCGGUAAUACGUAGGUGGCAAGCGUUAUCCGGAAUUAUUGGGCGUAAAGCGCGCGUAGGCGGUUUUUUAAGUCUGAUGUGAAAGCCCACGGCUCAACCGUGGAGGGGCAGUGGAAACUGGAAAACUUGAGUGCAGAAGAGGAAGGAGGAAUUCCAUGUGUAGCGGUGAAAUGCGCAGAGAUAAGGAAGAACACCAGUGGCGAAGGCGACUUUCUGGUCUGUAUCUGACGCUGAUGGGCGAAAGCGUGGGGAGCAAACAGG
rnacentral:rRNA from 1 species